rnacentral:tRNA from 1 species
GGGAAGGUGGCUCAGUGGUAGAGCGCUUGCCUUGCAUGCAUGAGGCACUGGGUUCGAUUCCUUAGCAUCACA